UUCAUAAAAUAAAUAAAUAAAUAAACCAUCAAAAGAAAUAAUGCGAGUAAAGUAGAAAUGAAAAAGAAAAAUCUUAUUAACAAUCAAAGGCCUUCACUCCAUCAAAAUCUUGUGCUGUUCACAGUAUAGCCAGUGUACCAAUAAACAAGAAAGAAAGAAAUGAAGCAGAAUUUCAAUAAAAAGAAAAGAGCUUGGCAUCGCAACCACUUCACUAAGAUUGGUUCCAAACAAUGAAUCAAUGCAACACAUAGGAAUUCAACCCAACAGAAUUUUCAGAAUUACAGCUUUUCUCUCAAGAUUAUAGCACUACGAAAACCACAUUAUAAAAAAGAUUCGACAUGAAAAAUAAGCAUAAAAUUUAGGGGAAACUAGGUAUGAUUUUGCAGUUUCAGAAAG
rnacentral:misc_RNA from 1 species